rnacentral:rRNA from 1 species
GCAAGUCGAGCGGAAACGAUCCUAGCUUGCUAGGAGGCGUCGAGCGGCGGACGGGUGAGUAACACGUGAGAAUCUGCCCAUUAGAGGGGGAUAACCUGGGGAAACCCAGGCUAAUACCGCAUAAUCCCUACGGGGGAAAGCAGGGGAUCUUCGGACCUUGUGCUGAUGGAUGAGCUCGCGUCGGAUUAGCUUGUUGGUGAGGUAAUGGCUCACCAAGGCGACGAUCCGUAGCUGGUCUUAGAGGAUGAUCAGCCACACCGGGACUGAGACACGGCCCGGACUCCUACGGGAGGCAGCAGUGGGGAAUCUUGGACAAUGGGGGCAACCCUGAUCCAGCCAUGCCGCGUGUGUGAAGAAGGCCUUCGGGUUGUUAAGCACUUUCAGUAGGGAGGAAGGCUUAUCCUU